UACGAAGGGGGCAAGCGUUGUUCGGAAUUACUGGGCGUAAAGGGCGCGUAGGCGGCUUAUCAAGUCAGGCGUGAAAUUCCCGGGCUCAACCUGGGGGCUGCGCUUGAUACUGAUGAGCUUGAAUGCGGGAGAGGGAAGUGGAAUUUCCGGUGUAGCGGUGAAAUGCGUAGAUAUCGGAAGGAACAUCAGUGGCGAAAGCGACUUCCUGGACCAAUACUGACGCUCAUGUGCGAAAGCGUGGGGAGCAAACAGG
rnacentral:rRNA from 1 species